UCAAUCCUUCUCUCUGAAAAGAUUUACUUCACAAAAAUGAGUCUCACAACUCGGUUCUUGGUCCUGAGAUUAGUAGGUCAACAUAGUGGUUGUCCUAUGCUCGUGAUCUACAGACAGAGAAGUUUUUUGGAAAGAAGAAGAAGUUUUUUAGAACGAAGAAGAAGUUGAGAACUACAAAGUCCGAAGUAUAGUGGGUGAACUCUAGUGGUGGUUCUGGAUGUGUGAUCGUGAGAAGAUUUGGAGCAUCAGGGAGCUUCAAAGGUACCACAACCCGGUUCUUAGUCCAAGUAUAACAGGUGAUUUCUAGUGGUAGUUUCGGGUGUGUGAUCAUGAGAAGAUUUGGAGCAUCAGGAAGCUUCAAAGGCUAAACGAUCGUGUUCAUCCGACCUAAACGAUCGAAUUUGUCCGGCCUGCUCUAAACAAUCGUGUUUGCCCGGUCUGCCCUCAACGAUCGUGUACUUGUUUAACCCGGUUGGAAUUGUUCGGAAGCGGUUUAUGUACUCCAUCAAAUUAUUAUUGUAAUAAUUUAGUUUUUUAGCUUAACUUAGGAGCCAA